UCUUCCGUAGUAUAGUGGUGAGUAUGCAAGCUUGUCACGCUUGAGACCCGGGUUCAAUUCCCGGCGGGAGAG
rnacentral:tRNA from 1 species